AUUUUCCAACAAGUUGCAUUAUCAUUCAUAUUGCAUUCUACCUUUUCAAUUCUCCAACAAUCUUAAAAUUCUUGCUAUUUUUCUAAUUCUCUAAAGUUUUUAAAAGCAUUUUCUUUAUAAGAUAUGCAUCCGUCAAAUGUAUACGUACAUCCGGUCCAGUAGAGCAUGAUGUAUUAAAAAUUCAAGUUCAUCAUCGUUCCGAAGGAAUUUGGAAUGGUAGCAUAAAAGAAGAGAGGUCUUGCUUAUAUACGCUUCGUGGUGAUAUUAAAUUUUGGCAACAUAUAAAAUAUCAUCCAUUAUAUUCUCGCAUCCAUCAAUAUUUUAAAAAUUGUAGAUUUAAAGGAAUUCUUGAUGUAGGAUGUGUGUCGUGCGACUCCGGAUUAAUUUCUGCUUUAAUUGAAAGGUGGCGUCCAGAAACUCAUACUUUUCACAUGCGAACUAACGAGGCUACCAUAACUUUACAUGAUAUUGAAAUUUUAUUCGGAAUGGUAGUAGAUGAUAGUCGUAUAAUUUUAAAUGGAGCUGAUUCUUUAGGGAUUAUAGGUAGACAGAAAUGACAUUUGAAUUAACAUGAUGGUUACCCGAUACUAGUUGUUUUUCUGGUUUUAGUAGAUUGUUAACAUAUAAAUUGAUUGAUUAUAUCGAAGGUUUGGAUGGUAUUAAUGAUAACUCAACUGAGCAUAAAGUUCAACAAAGAUUUAGAUUAUAUUUAUUAUGGUUAUGUGGUGGAUCAAUAUUUUCGGAUAAAUCUAAUAAUAAGAUUAAUUUGGACAUUUUGAUUGACAUGAGAAAUUAAGAUUUAUUGUCAACUCAAGCAUGGGGAUCAGCCGCAUUUUCAUAUUUGUAUAAUUGUUUAUGCCGUGCAUCAAUGAAAAAAUCAAAUGAAGUUUGUGGAUUUCUCUCUUUAGUGCAGAUUUGGGCAUGAGAAAGAAUUAUUCCCCUGCAACCAUUGCCAAAGCCUCUAAGGACCAAUCAACUUGAGGUUUCAACUGCGCUUGCACGUAAAUGGACGCGACGUAGAAAUCAUCAAAAUGAGGCACAAACUGUAAUAUGUGUGAUUAGGGAUGUACUAGAUAAUUUAACUGAUGAACAGGUAUUUAAUAUUAUUAGUAUCUUAAACUAUUCAUUUUCACGUACAUAUUUUUUUUCUGUCAAUGUUGUUUUUAUAAUUAUCUUACUUAAUUAUUUUUUUAUAGUUUAUUUGGCAACCUUAUUCGGAAGAUGUUAUUAAUGGAUUGCCUGAGUGGUGUCGGUCAGGACAACGUGUCUGGAUGGCACAGGUGCCACUGAUUUAUGAAAUUUAUCGUGAGUGGCACAUGGUUGAUCGUGUUGUGAGACAGUUUGGUUAUUUACAACAUAUUCCUGGACCGUGUACCCAAUUUGUCGAAUAUCAUUUUAAGUGUGAUAAACGAUCCAAAAUAAAACAAGAAGAUAUAGAUGCAUUUAAUUACACACAAUAUUUAUGGGAACAACGUCAAAAUCGUAUAUUUCGACCUCCAUUUGUAAGUGAUCAAACCGAUUACUUUCGUUGGUAAUGAGGCAUACCCGCAUGGUCAUUGGAAAUCCACAACAUGUUGUACAAAAAGGGUAUCAACACAUGGCAGGAAGACAUGAGACAUUAGCUAGGGGUCAUGAAAUGCAGUAUCGUCGAGCUCGGAUGAUUGAAAAUGAUGAAAAUCAAUCUAAUGAAAUGAGACAAUAUGCAGAGGAAGUCGCUCGUAUUUCAAUGGAGUCAAUGAAUGCGGACUUUCAGGGAACGUGGUUGAGCUUUGAUCCUGAUUACAAUCCUCCCACUCAAUACGAUGAACCAUCACCAGUACAAGUAUCUCGCCGAUCAAGACAAACAAUACCGAGAGAGGGUGCACGUCGAGGUAGAAGGGUCGCUGGUGAAACAAUUGAUUUUUUCUGCAGGGCCCUCUAACACUAAUGUGGCGACUGCCGAGCCUUAUUAUCCCACGUUUGAUUUUUCUACAGGGCCCUCUAACACUAAUGUUAAUUUUUCUAGUCAGCAAACAGUUGGUUUUGUAACUCCACAUGUUCCAAUAUCUGGUUUUGCGCAAUUUAGUGGAUCUCAAUAUGGUAUUCAACAUGGUAUGCGUGAAUUUCCUAUACAUAAUUCUCCAUUUGGUGGAAGAUUGAAUUUUUCGAAUGUAACUGUGUCCGAUGAUUCAAGAUUUAAUGUUGGGGCUUCACAAAAUUUAGUUCUUAAUAGACAAAAUCCACCUUGGAGAACAUCUAGGCUAAAAAAAUCAACUAGAUGUGGAACAUGCAGUUGUUGGGUUUUAUUUGCCCUGAUUUCUUACCAUAAAUAGGUUUUCUUUUUAGGAAAAGGUUUUGGAUUGACUAAUCCUUUUUCUGUUAGGAAAAGGUUUAUGACUCUAUAAAUAGAGGAAUGUUCCUUCUAACUUAAUCAACAUUCACAAUGUAGAGUUAAGGGCUUUGAGAGUUUUGGUUCGGGGGAGAAUGUGUGGAUUACAAGUUUGAUACGUUAUCACUUGUGUGAACCUCCCAUGUAUUCCGAGUGAAUUGGUUGAGGUUGUUUCUCUCUGUAUUUU